rnacentral:misc_RNA from 1 species
UUAAGUUCAGCGGGUAGUCCUACCUGAUUUGAGGUCAGAUUUCAAAGUUGUUUUUUUGACCGCCACUCAAGAAGGCAGGUCGUGGAAGGGCACAAAACAGAGGAAUGUCUCAGACGAGAGCGAGGUUGUUACAACGCCCAACCGAGUUUGACCCACAGGCCCGACCGAAGCAUUUGAGGGGAGCGACCUUUCGGCCGCAG